CUCAUUUUAACUUCGUUGCUGCUUUAAAGGCCAGAUCUCCAAACACAGUCACAUGCUAGAGUACAGAGGAGAGGAGUAGGACUUCAAUGUAUAAAUUUGCAAAGGACGCAAUUCAGCCUAUGACACUGGUAGGUCUCAUUGUCCUGAAGCUAAUUUUGUUCUGCUGCCUCCAUUCUCAGUGCCCUCUCCACUGUCCAGGGAUGCCUUUAGAGGGACAACAGGAGCACCUGUGCAUAUAGACAACGACUAGCCAUCCUAACCCCUGUUUCCAAAAGGGUUGAAAUAUCAGGCCAUAGAUAUCCCCACCCAUAAUCUAGAGCAUAGCUUUUGGGAAGGGAGAAGGAGAAAAGAAUGCACAUAAAUAGGGACCCAGUAAGCCUAGGAACAAUGAAAGAUGAUGUCUUAAAUGGAUCUUGUGUUCAAUUUAAAACUCUCAGCAGCCUUAUGACAUGGCUAUGAUUAUCCCAGGUUUAGGGAUCCAAAACAUGAGCCUCAGAGAGUUUAAUAAGCUUGUCAUAGUCACACAAUUAGUAAUAGCAGAACUAGUAGGUUUGAAUUGAAAGAAAGAAAGAAAGAAAGAAAGAAAGAAAGAAAGAAAGAAAGAAAGAAAAAGGAAUCAAUCUGGGGGUGGGAGGCAUAAGGGUCGUAAGGAGAAGGAGCGAUUGAAUUAUGUUUAAAACCACUAGGACAACUGUUUGAGCACAGCAGAAAAGUUUAAAUUCACAUUUCCCCCCAAAUGAACCAUUUUAUAGCACAAUAAAAGACAGCAGCAUGUGAUACAAUCUAAUGCCACCCAUUUGUUUAAUCAUUAUAUCUUUACAGCCUCCCCAGCAACCAUCAUGUGGGCCUCAGAACAAUUUGCAGGUCCAACAACCUGACUUUCUUUUACCUAACACUUUGAUGCGGCUGCAUCUGAGCACCUGCAAGAGCAAGUUGGCUGUGGGGAUUAUAUGAUACAAUGCUUAAAACCAUCCAUAGUGCAUGGUAAGAACUCAGUACUUAUAAGUGUUAAUACUAUUAUUAUGAUCAUUAAUAUUAUUACUUCUCUUGGCUUUAACUUUCCAAUUUGUUAGGUUCUGGAAAAUGAAAACGGGUUGGCUAACUAGAUACAUGGCUUUGGGACAGAGGCAGCUCUAGGUAGCCUUGGUUUGACCCUUGGUUUUUAUGUGACAGACUUUCAUCAGUAGUUUCCUAGAUUCCUAAAACAAUGUACAGUGAAAAUUCAAAGCAGAAUAAAUCACAUUUACAGUCAAUUGAUUUUUGACAAGGAUACCAAGUUGACUCAAUGAAGAAAGGAGAGUCUUUUCAAUUAAUGGUGCUGAGACAACUAGAUAUCCACAUGUAAAAGAUUCAAGUUGGAAUCAUACUUCAUAACAUGUACAAAAAUACAUUCAAAAUGGAGUACAGAUGUAAGCAUAGGAGUUAAAACUACAAAACUUCUAGAAGGAACAUAUGUGUAAAUUUUAGGACUUGGCAUUGGUCAAGACUCAUUAGAUAUGAGACCAAAAAGAUAAGGAAUGAAAGAAAAAAAAAUAAAUUUGGCUUCAUCGAAUUAAAAUAUUUUGUUUCAGAAGAUACCAUCAAAGAAGUGAAAAGACAACCCAUGAAA
rnacentral:lncRNA from 1 species